UACAGAGGGUGCGAGCGUUAAUCGGAAUUACUGGGCGUAAAGCGUGCGUAGACGGUAGCGUAAGUCAGAUGUGAAAGCCCGGGCUCAACCUGGGAAUUGCAUUUGAGACUGCUCUGCUCGGGUGCGGAAGAGGGAAGCGGAAUUUCCGGUGUAGCGGUGAAAUGCGUAGAUAUCGGAAGGAACACCAGUGGCGAAAGCGGCUUCCUGGUCCGACACCGACGUUCAGGCACGAAAGCGUGGGGAGCAAACAGG
rnacentral:rRNA from 1 species